GACGAACGCUGGCGGCGUGCCUAAUACAUGCAAGUCGAACGCUUCUUUCCUCCCGAGUGCUUGCACUCAAUUGGAAAGAGGAGUGGCGGACGGGUGAGUAACACGUGGGUAACCUACCCAUCAGAUGGGGAUAACACUUGGAAACAGGUGCUAAUACCGCAUAACAGUUUAUGCCGCAUGGCAUAAGAGUGAAAGGCGCUUUCGGGUGUCGCUGAUGGAUGGACCCGCGGUGCAUUAGCUAGUUGGUGAGGUAACGGCUCACCAAGGCCACGAUGCAUAGCCGACCUGAGAGGGUGAUCGGCCACACGGGGACUGAGGCACGGCCCAGACUCCUACGGGAGGCAGCAGUAGGGAAUCUUCGGCAAUGGACGAAAGUCUGACCGAGCAACGCCGCGGGAGUGAAGAAGGUUUUCGGAUCGUAAAACUCUGUUGUUAGAGAAGAACAAGGACGUUAGUAACUGAACGUCCCCUGACGGAAUCUAACCAGAAAGCCACGGCUAACUACGU
rnacentral:rRNA from 1 species